rnacentral:rRNA from 1 species
GACGAACGCUGGCGGCGUGCCUAAUACAUGCAAGUCGAGCGAAGUUUUUCUGGUGCUUGCACUAGAAAAACUUAGCGGCGAACGGGUGAGUAACACGUAAAGAACCUGCCUCAUAGACUGGGACAACUAUUGGAAACGAUAGCUAAUACCGGAUAACAGUAUUUCUCGCAUGAGAGAUAUUUAAAAGUUGGUUAUGCUAACACUAUGAGAUGGCUUUGCGGUGCAUUAGCUAGUUGGUGGGGUAAAGGCCCACCAAGGCGACGAUGCAUAGCCGACCUGAGAGGGUGAUCGGCCACACUGGGACUGAGACACGGCCCAGACUCCUACGGGAGGCAGCAGUAGGGAAUCUUCCGCAAUGGGCGAAAGCCUGACGGAGCAACGCCGCGUGAGUGAAGAAGGAUUUCGGUUCGUAAAGCUCUGUUGUUAGGGAAGAAUGGAUAUAUAGUAACUAUACAUGUAAGAGACGGUACCUAACCAGAAAGCCACGGCUAACUACGUG